GAUGGGUUUAAGAGCUCCUUGUUCCUUCUGCCUUUUUACACUUCGUUCAUUUUUAUUUUUAUACACCUAUAUCCGGGUGUCUGAUAGUCUUAAAUAUUUACUAACUCCAGUGGAGGGGCCCCUCACUGGAGUUUUAUUUAACCUGUUUGGGAUAAAAAAAAUAAAUUAUAUAUGGGUUUAUGUAUUUGAUGUCAUAUUAUUGUGAUUUUGUGGCUAUGUCUAUUGAUGCAUUUGCUUAGAAGGCUACUGAGCGAU